AUUGAACGCUGGCGGCAUGCCUUACACAUGCAAGUCGAAUGGUAACGGGCCUUCGGGUGCCGCCGAGUGGCGCACGGGUGAGUAAUACAUCGGAACGUGCCCGAUCGUGGGGGAUAACGAGGCGAAAGCUUUGCUAAUACCGCAUACGAUCUACGGAUGACAGCAGGGGACCGCAAGGCCUUGUGCGGACGGAGCGGCCGAUGGCAGAUUAGGUAGUUGGUGGGAUAAAAGCUUACCAAGCCGACGAUCUGUAGCUGGUCUGAGAGGAUGAUCAGCCACACUGGGACUGAGACACGGCCCAGACUCCUACGGGAGGCAGCAGUGGGGAAUUUUGGACAAUGGGCGCAAGCCUGAUCCAGCCAUGCCGCGUGCAGGAUGAAGGCCUUCGGGUUGUAAACUGCUUUUGUACGGAACGAAAAGCCUUCUUUUAAUACAGGAGGGUCAUGACGGUACCGUAAGAAUAAGCACCGGCUAACUACGUG
rnacentral:rRNA from 1 species